UGCAGGGAAGGGAUGGUCAUUUCCUUCAAUUCAGCUUUACAUCUUUGACAGCGCUAUAAAAUUUGCCAGAAAUUGUUCAACUACGGCUCGAGUAAGAUCGGUAAUUCGAAACUAGAAGGACUUUUAAAAAUUAAAUACAAAGGUGAAAUAGUUUUGUGAACUUCGUGGAUCAAUAAUCAUCAUGGCGAGUGUUUCACCAUUGUACUCUGAUAACAGUGUACAUUCUAGAAUGAAUAGAAGGUCAGGAAUAUACGACAUCGAUUUUUCCAAAAUGUCUAUUAAUUCUCCAGGACCCAAUCCUAUGAGACGAAAUUCCUCAGCAUCAUAUGUCAAUAGUGCGCUUGAAGCAAUUCCACGAGGUACAGGAAGUUCUACGCCUGAUUCUGAAUCUAGGAUCUUAAGGACUCCAGAACCGCGUCUUCAUAGACGAAAUUCACUAUCAGCAUCAAUGAGAAAAUUCCGAAGUAAGGUCACACAUGCCAUCGAUCGUCUGAAUGUUUCUUUUUCGGAAUAUAUGGCAGAACAUAGAGAACACAGAGAACAUACUGUUGCACCUACUGUAGUUUCCAAAGGCUCGCGGGCUAACAAGACCGUGGAGAAAAUCCUUUCUUCCGGAGGUAUUCGAAGAAAUAAAAUUGCACCCAAAAGUUCUCUGCUUCACACAUUUAAGCCAAAAAAUUUGUUUAAAAAACGCGGGAACGCAAAUAGUCAUGAUGUAGAUACAAUCAGCAGAUCAUCGUCUUGCUCAUCGUUACCAUCUUUAGCAUCCGUAGAUUAUCAUGUUCAACCUGCAGUGCCAAUGGAAACUGGAAGUGGGAGAGUUCUGAUUUACGAUGACCUUGAAAAGUCAGUAGUGUCACAUUCGUUUUCAGACUAUGCGUAUGAUGAUGUCAAAUUUACUGAAGAAGCCGAUGUUCAUCGAUCUGAAGAUUCAAAUUUUGACGCGAAUCAAAGCUGGGUUUCUCGAGUUUUUGAAGUUCCUGAAGAAAGUAAUCCCAAAUUUCAAGUUCAGAAGACCUUAUAUAGUUUAAAUUGUUCGCCGGAAAAGUCAGACGAAUCUUAUGAAUCGAGGAGUUCCUGUUCGAAGAUUGUCCAUCCAAGUUGGUCGAAUGAACAGCUGGACCACGCGGAAGGUGAUUAUGUGGUAAUUAAAAGAAACUGCCCCUGUCGUAUGCAAGAGGAAGAGGAGGCCAAAGUAUUUAAUUUGAAGAACAAAAAUAGUUUGAACUUGGAUGAAACUGACGAAUUCAUGAUGAUGAACCAGAAGGAGGAUGUCGAAAAGGCUAAUUCUUACGUAGUUUCGAUGUACGUUUAACUUCAGCAUCACUCUUUAAAAGUCAUAUAGGGGGGUCUGUCAGCCCCCACGAAACGUUGCAAAAGGGUGAAGUUUUGACAAAAUAAUUUUUGUGACCUGUCAAGGGGGUGUUUCUGGCUGUUUGGAUGUUUAAAAGUACCUAAACGUUUCGUGUGGAGAUAACGAUGUUGACAAGAAUACCUGAAAGGCGGAUUUUGAUGUUUGGAUGAUCCAUUGAGAUCAAGAAAAUAUAGCAUGCGAGCUACUAUGAAUUGAGCCAGUGGGCACAAUACUAUAAAAAGACCAAGAACGUCCUUGGGACGUUUCUGUGACGUCCUAUGACCUAUGUCAGGCCAGUCAACGUAUUUAAGACCUACGCUGGUCAAAACACGUGUUAUACAAGACGUCUCUAGGACAUCCUAAAUUUUUUUGCUCACGGGGAGUAGCUGAAUUUUCUCUCUACACAUUUGAUUCUUGUAAUCAUAACAUACGGCUUUACUAAUUUUUAUAAUCAGAUAUACUUCAAGUUUAAUCUAUAAAGCAAAACGAGCAAAAAAAUGCGUGUAUGAUAUAAAUUGCGAAUUUUUUAUGUUUAAUAUUUAGCAUAAAUAUAACAUUAAUUAUUCAUGAAUUAACCAUUGACGGUCACUUUAAAAAUGUUUCAUAUUGAAUUAUUUAUCCUAAAUAUUAUUUUUUGACGUAAAGUUUUACGUUUUUAAAAUGUAUAUAUUUUUAGUAUGCGUAAUCUUAGGCUUUAUCUAGCCUAGCAUUAACUGGUCAACGAUCAUAACAUUUUCUACCAUUUUAUUGUAGAAUAUUUACAGUUAAAAGUUACAUUCAAUUUUUCAAUAUUACAUAAAUUAUUUCGUAUGCAUCAAUAUAUAUAGUGCCUUUAUUAAUACAAUAGCGUGUAUGUGCCUUUGUGUGAAAAAUAUUUUAAAAACUCCUUUAGAAAUGGAAA